GACGAACGCUGGCGGCGUGCUUAACACAUGCAAGUCGAACGGAAAGGCCCUGCUUUUGUGGGGUGCUCGAGUGGCGAACGGGUGAGUAACACGUGAGUAACCUGCCCUUGACUUUGGGAUAACUUCAGGAAACUGGGGCUAAUACCGGAUAGGAGCUCCUGCUGCAUGGUGGGGGUUGGAAAGUUUCGGCGGUUGGGGAUGGACUCGCGGCUUAUCAGCUUGUUGGUGGGGUAGUGGCUUACCAAGGCUUUGACGGGUAGCCGGCCCGAGAGGGUGACCGGCCACAUUGGGACUGAGAUACGGCCCAGACUCCUACGGGAGGCAGCAGUGGGGAAUAUUGCACAAUGGGCGGAAGCCUGAUGCAGCAACGCCGCGUGCGGGAUGACGGCCUUCGGGUUGUAAACCGCUUUCGCCUGUGACGAAGCGUGAGUGACGGUAAUGGGUAAAGAAGCACCGGCUAACUACGU
rnacentral:rRNA from 1 species